UACGUAGGGUGCAAGCGUUGUCCGGAAUUAUUGGGCGUAAAGAGCUCGUAGGCGGUUUGUCGCGUCUGCUGUGAAAACUCAGGGCUUAACCCUGAGCCUGCAGUGGGUACGGGCAGACUAGAGUGUGGUAGGGGAGAUCGGAAUUCCUGGUGUAGCGGUGGAAUGCGCAGAUAUCGGGAGGAACACCGGUGGCGAAGGCGGCGACCUGGGUAGAUACUGACGCUGAGGUGCGAAAGCGUGGGGAGCAAACAGG
rnacentral:rRNA from 1 species